GUCCUUGCCUUAAACUAUGUAUACUUGGUGUUGUUGGGCUCAACCCUGACAGUACCGUAGCGAACGCGUUAAGUAUACCGCCUGGGGAGUACGCUCGCAAGGGUAAAACUCAAAAGAAUUGACGGGGACCCGCACAAGCAGUGGAGCAUGUGGUUUAAUUCGAUGCAACGCGAAGAACCUUACCUGGACUUGACAUGCUUUUGACCGCUGCAGAAAUGCAGUUUUUUCGCAAGAAACAGAAGCACAGGUGCUGCAUGGCUGUCGU
rnacentral:rRNA from 1 species